AUUGAACGCUGGCGGCAUGCCUUACACAUGCAAGUCGAACGGCAGCACGGGAGCAAUCCUGGUGGCGAGUGGCGAACGGGUGAGUAAUAUAUCGGAACGUGCCCAGUAGUGGGGGAUAACUGCUCGAAAGAGCAGCUAAUACCGCAUACGACCUGAGGGUGAAAGGGGGGGAUCGCAAGACCUCUCGCUAUUGGAGCGGCCGAUAUCAGAUUAGCUAGUUGGUGGGGUAAAGGCCUACCAAGGCAACGAUCCGUAGUUGGUCUGAGAGGACGACCAGCCACACUGGGACUGAAACACGGCCCAGACUCCCACGGGAGGCAGCAGUGGGGAAUUUUGGACAAUGGGCGCAAGCCUGAUCCAGCAAUGCCGCGUGCAGGAAGAAGGCCUUCGGGUUGUAAACUGCUUUUGUCAGGGAAGAAAUCCUCUAGGUUAAUACCCUUGGGGGGAUGACGGUACCUGAAGAAUAAGCACCGGCUAACUACGUGCCAGCCGCCGCAGUAAGAC
rnacentral:rRNA from 1 species